UAUUACCUUACCCAGUUCCAUCUGCUGUGAAAUCCUAUCCCCCCUUACCUGAGGCAAAUUUGUUGACACCUGUAUUAUUAUGGGAGGGAGCCUCCCAUACACAAUUUCAUAUGGAGAAUAGCCUUGGGUCUGUGGGGUCAUCCUGAGUCUGAGCAGAGCCGUCGGAAGCAAGUCCACCCAGGAGCAGUCAGUCUCUAUGAUCCACUUGGAGAGUCUCUCUAAUGUCCGGUUGGUUCAUUCCACCGUCUCUGGGCCUAUAUGCAGUGUGCAGUUUCCAUUUGACGUGUAAAGUUUUGCUUACUUGUUGUACUAAAUCAGCUGCUUUAAGCCGGACCAUUGUCUGAACCAAUGCUGGUAGGAAGUCCAAAUCUGGGAACUAUUUCCCUAAGCAGGCACUGGGCUACUUCUGAUGCUCCUUCAGUCCAGGUAGGAAAAGCUUCUACGCAUCCUGAGAACGUACACACCUUGACCAGCAGGUAACAGUAGUGUCGGUGAGGUUUCAUUUCAGUGAAGUCCACUCCCAGGUGUUCAAAGGGCAGCGUGCCUUUCAGCUGAAUACCCGGAGGUUUUUGUCUGAAUAGCCGAGAGGCAGCGUUAACCUGUGAGCAGGCAGCCUGGCCUAGGUGUGUCUCUUGGUGUGUUUGGCUACCAGAGUGUGUGCCAGCUCCUUUGGUACCAAUAAUUUUCCACUUGGCAAUUCCCACCAUCCCUUUUCAGUCUUGAUGGCCCCUUCUGCUGUGGCUAACCUGACAGCCGUUGUCCUUGUUUUAUCAGGCUGGUGCCAUCAGUGUAUAGGACCCAACUAGGGUCUGGACCCUUGUGUCCUUCCUUAAAACAAACCCCAGAUACCUUACCUCCUCCUUGCAGAUCUGUGCCUCCUUCUUCAACACCCGGUGACCUGCUUCCAUCAGCAGCUGGAGCAGUGCUUCUGUCCCUUCCCAGCACUUUUCCUUGGUCUCGGCGGCCAGCAGCAGGUCAUCCCCACAUUGUAGGAGCCAACAUCCACACUCUUCUGGAUGGAAUGAGUCCAGGCAAAGAUGGGCUGUGACGCUGGGGCGAGGCAUACGCAGAAGAAGCCAUCCUUGAGAUCCCGGCGGGUAUAAACUUGAGUCCUCGGCGGGAGGAGGCUCAGUAAGGGCUCUGGCAGAGCACAGUCUCUGCUUAAUUCCAACAUCUCCCUCCCCUUCUUGUCAGAACUCACCGGGAGAGAAAGGUAUAGCUUGGGCAGUUUGGCUGAAGCCGGAUCCUGGAAGUGUUAACCAGAGGCUUCUGUCACCAAGAUCGGAGCCUGCCGAGGUGGCAGCUCUGUGACCUCGGGGAGAGCUGGCGGAGGAGCAGCGGCUGCUGCAGGACUUUGCCGGGGUCCAGCCCCCACUGGAUCCAGGGGAACCCGAAGGAGAAAUGGCAUUGGCAAAUGAAUGAAUGAAUGAGAGAGGAAUAGAGGAGAGAAAGAGGCUGAUAUUCCUUGGUUUACAUAGAAAGCCAAUAAAGCCCCGAGACAAGGAGUUUGCCCUGUUCACGGAGGCCACAGGUGCCCUCCUGGUCUCCUGAGGGAAUGAAGAACGUCUUCCCAUUCAGGUCUUAGA